rnacentral:antisense_RNA from 1 species
CGGACGGUGUACGGCCAGGCGCCGCCGUCCUGCCGGACCGCCUCGUCGCCGAGGUGGUCGCCGUCGGCGAGGGUGCCGACGACCGUCUCCUCGCCGUACUUGCCGGUGCCCAGCCGGUCGAGCUUGCCGUGCGCGAUCAGGAACACCUCGGUGAUCGGGGCGCCGGCCUGGACCAGCACGUCGCCCGGGGCGAACUCCCGCUGCACGAAGCGCGAGGCCAGCUCCUCCAGCACGGCCUCGUCCUGGAACCCGCGCAGCACCGGCACCUCGGCCAGCGUGGGCGCGACGAUCCGCACCUCGGCACCGGUCUUGACGAAACCCACCCGGCCGCGGCCGACCGAGUGGCGCAGGCGGCGGUUCACCCGGUAGGUGCCGCCGGACACCUGCACCCAGGGCAGCUUCCUGAGCAGCCAGCGCGGGCUGAUGCCCUGCAUCUGGGGCGCGGACUUGGUGGUCGUCGCGAGGUUCCGCGCGCCGGCCGUGCUCAGACUCUGCUGCUGCCGGAUCUC